GGUUAGAAAUAAAACUGCCGGGCUGAAGGAGGGCAGAGGCUGUUCGGUUGGAGCUGUGGUCGGAUGCCUGAGGAGAGGAGAGCGUGAUUGAGGAGAGGACGGACGUCACUGUGUCUGACCGGAAUUAACCCGGGAGCAAAGGAGUGGAGGCGGAGCCGCAAAGCAGCGCUGUCAGCGGUGGCAUAGACAUAUCAGUGUAAGCCGCCAGUAUUAAGGGAAGAGAUGCGGGGAGGAGCGAGACAGCGAGACGAGACUCCAGGGAGGAGCUAUACCGUUGGGCAGCCAAGGUCUCCAUGUGACGGAUGAGCGGCCGAGGUCCUCUGGAGAGGGUAGCUGGGACGUAGCAGCCUCCUGAGAAGGGAGAUAUCAUACCGCUGCCUCCGCUGUACUUAAACAUACAAUUAUACUUACCGUCGAAGGGUUCAGCAGGACGUGACUGACCUGGAAAAGAAGAGGAAGGUACAAGGAUAUGGGGAGAUAAGAUCUCAGUGAAGAGGACUGAGUUCAAUUUGGUCUGGGACGGUGAGAUUUCUUCCAGUUGACUUUUGAAGAUUUGCAGAGUGCGGUCCCUAUCAUGAGAAGAGGGCCCCGCCCAGCUGAGAGGAGGUACGCGCACAACAACACCAGUGACGUCACGCACCUCAGAGGAAGAGAGGGUGCGCAUCUAGCAGGAGAGAUAUUCACAAGUGAACAAACAAUGAGAUUUCCGAAUGAACAAGCAGAUAUCACAAGAAUACAAAUACCAAUAAGACACCGUAAAAUAUUUUAAAAACCAUAAGAACACAAGUGGACACGUA